CUAUAAAAUAUCAGUAAAAGGAAAAAUCUCAAAAUGUCAAAUAAAAUAUUAGUAAAAAUAUUAAGCAAAAAAUUGAAAUCGAGCCAUUUGUACCUAAAUACCUACCCCUUAUAGCAGCAGUAACAGACUCCGCAUCUCGUUUUCGAAUCGGAAGCGGUCGGACGAGCGCUUCCAGGCGUAUCAAAAUUCGCGUGAAAGGAACAUGACUAGCAGGUGAGGUUAUUAAACUCUGACCAAUUUUUGAACGGGACAAAUGCAUGACAAGCAGCGAUUUUGAGAUGCGCUUCCGUCAGGACCGGACUGAAUCGUUGAAUUGUGUGCUUAUUUGAGACCGUUCGUAUGCGAUCAAAUUUUAAUAAUGUUUCAAUGCCUAUUAGUUACAUAAUAGAUUACUUACAUUAGGGAAACAUUGUUGAUAAUUAAAUACUAAUUAAUAAUAUAUGUAUUUUCUUAUAUGGAAGUAUAGGGAAGCGGUGCUUCCCCCGCUUCCAUGGACCGCACGCCUCUGCUGUUUUGACCGAUGCGUUGUGCGACAGUCGACAAUGGAGCCAUUUCUUAUUGAAUGUGAGAGACGGUUAUUACAUAUUUAUUGGAAUAAUUGCUGUUUUCUUUAUAAAACUUUAUAAAACCAUCCAAUAAACUAAUUAUCAAUAAAAAAAAGCUGCAUUGAAUUCCUGAUUUAACCAAGUUAAAUUCCUUAAAUUGCGGUUGUUUCACCAAAUUUCCUAACCACUAUCACCAAUGUACCUUACCGUGUCACCAACUUAUUUAACAUAAGUUUGUAUGUCAAUUUGACAUUUACUAUCAUUAUUAUUCAUUUUUUGUUAAAUUAACUCCUCUGAACACGAUAAAGCAAAACUUAUUUCUUGCUUAGUUGUCAAAUUCCUAUAUUAUUAGUAUUUUUCAUUUUAUUUACCAACAUACCUUUCCUUACCCUACCGUCAAAUAUUUAUAAUAUCACAAACACCAGAAUAAGAUUAUGCAUAGGUACACCACUAAUAAGUUUUUAAUACCAAUGUUUAACAUUGCAAAAUAAGGUCUAUUUUAAACAGGUUUGUGAUUAGUGUGAUUUAAAUAAAGGUUUUAUUUGCCGAUCAAUAAUUCAAUAUUUAUAUUUGCCUAUGACCUCAAUAAUUGCUCAUAUCUUUAGCUUAUCAGAAUAUGUCAACCUGUAUAGUCAUUCAACCUCAAAAUUUAUUUCAUUUCAUAAGAAAUAUGUGAUAACUACAAUGAAAGUUUAUUUAUAAAGGUAGAGAAUAAAAAAGGUGAGUCAUAGUAGGGUAACGGGUACAGUGAUUGGCCACUUAAGGGAUUUCAAAUUGAAUUAAAAUUGUAAAUUGGUAUAUUUUAAUGUGAAAUAUUUUGUAAGCGUUUUUUAAUAACAAUGAAACAUCAAAUUUUAUAAAAACUCAGGUUAUUUUAGUAAAAAUAAUAAUGUACAUAAAAAAUUAACACAAAUUUAAAAACAUACAAAAUUACACAGUUAUUGGCCAUGCAAACCUAGUUAUUGGCAUAUAGAAUUACAGUUAUUGGCCACUCAUAAAAUUCCUAAUUUUCUUUUUUUGUUUGUGCAGUUAGGGUUUAGAUUUUCAAUUUCUUGUUGUUUUUUAACACAACUACCAAUAUGGGAGCCUCUGACACAAAAUAAACAUUUUAUUCCAACUUUUGAUUUAGAAA
rnacentral:lncRNA from 1 species